rnacentral:rRNA from 1 species
UACGUAGGGUGCGAGCGUUGUCCGGAAUUAUUGGGCGUAAAGAGCUUGUAGGCGGUUUGUCGCGUCUGCUGUGAAAAUCCGGGGCUCAACCCCGGACUUGCAGUGGGUACGGGCAGACUAGAGUGUGGUAGGGGAGACUGGAAUUCCUGGUGUAGCGGUGAAAUGCGCAGAUAUCAGGAGGAACACCGAUGGCGAAGGCAGGUCUCUGGGCUGUAACUGACGCUGAGGAGCGAAAGCGUGGGGAGCGAACAGG